rnacentral:rRNA from 1 species
GAUGAACGCUAGCGAUAGGCCUAACACAUGCAAGUCGAGGGGCAUCACAUGAAGUAGCAAUACGGAUGGUGGCGACCGGCGCACGGGUGAGUAACACGUAUGCAACCUGCCUUCAACAAGGGGAUAACCCGUUGAAAGACGGACUAAUACCCUAUAACACAGGGGUCCCGCAUGGGAAUAUUUGUUAAAGAUUGAUCGGUUGAAGAUGGGCAUGCGUUCCAUUAGCUGGUUGGUGAGGUAACGGCUCACCAAGGCAACGAUGGAUAGGGGAACUGAGAGGUUUAUCCCCCACACUGGUACUGAGACACGGACCAGACUCCUACGGGAGGCAGCAGUGAGGAAUAUUGGUCAAUGGACGCAAGUCUGAACCAGCCACGUCGCGUGAAGGAAGACGGCCCUACGGGUUGUAAACUUCUUUUAUACGGGAAUAAAGUGCCCCACGCGUGGGGUUUUGCAUGUACCGUAUGAAUAAGGAUCGGCUAACUCCGUGCCAGCAGCCGCG